rnacentral:rRNA from 1 species
UGGGGAAUAUUGCGCAAUGGGGGAAACCCUGACGCAGCGACGCCGCGUGAAGGAAGAAGGAUCUUGGUCUGUAAACUUCUUUAAUCUGUGACGAGACAAGACGGUAGCAGAGGAAUAAGCCCCGGCUAACUACGUGCCAGCAGCCGCGGUAAUACGUAGGGGGCAAGCGUUGUCCGGAAUUACUGGGUGUAAAGGGUGAGUAGGCGGGUAAUUAAGUCAGAUGUGAAAACUAUGGGCUCAACUCAUAGAUUGCAUUUGAAACUGGAUAUCUUGAGUGUGGGAGAGGGAAGCGGAAUUCCUAGUGUAGCGGUGAAAUGCGUAGAUAUUAGGAAGAACACCAGUGGCGAAGGCGGCUUUCUGGACCAUAACUGACGCUGAGGCACGAAAGCGUGGGGAGCAAACAGG